UUACUGAAAGCUUAAAAUACUAUUUAUGUUUUGUUUUAAAGUGAGCUUUGAGAAAAUAUAUUUUUCUGGAAAUUUUACCACUUAAUCUAAAUUUUUAAAUAUGUUGCCUUUAAAAUGUUUGUUUUUGAUGUCUAGAUCAUCGGUAGUAGCAUUCCCCUUGUCAUUUAUUAUAGGAUAUUGAUGCACUGUUUUUUCUUGAUAAUUCUGACCAGAACACUAUCAAUUCUAUUAAUCUUUCAAAGUGCAGUGUUUGGCUAUGACUCUUACUAUAUAUGUAUUUCUUUUCUGAUUCUUUAAUUUCUGUCAUUAUCUUUAUUAUUUUGUUUAUUCAAUUUCUUAGUUUAGGAGUAAUUUGCUUUAUUUUUAUAAUGUCUUGACACAGAUACUUAGAUACUGGAUUUUUAGUCUUUAUUCUUUUUAAUUAUAUGAAUUUAGGUUACGAAUCAUCAAUUAAGCAUGGAUUUGGUUGCGUCCCGUAAGUUUUAAAAAGAUUUUUUGAGGUAAAAUUGCAUAACAUAAUGUUAACUCUGUUAAAGUGAACAAUUAAGUAGCAUUUCUAUGGUGUUCAUCAGUAUUACCUAGUAUUUAUUUCUAGAAGUAGAAGAUCUGCUCUUUAAAAUAUAUAACAUUAUAUAUCACAUAACAGAAGCAACAGCAGCCUUACCAUUAAAGGGUUAGUUCUAUUUAUGUUUUUCUCUUUCGUUCCUAGACAGCAAGGUAGGAGUUCCAGAUCACAUCCCACUCUAAACUCACCUCCCUUUGAGUGCCAUGAAGUGUCUCAGUCUUGGUCUCACUCCCCAAGUGCCUUAGGUUUUACCUUGCUAAUGUGAACCUAUUUCUGCAU